rnacentral:tmRNA from 1 species
CACGUUGCCCGCCAGGCGGUACGCGCCUAUCUUGUGGGUGCUGGCCUCGGUCGGCUAUGGCGAUAAACGUCUCAUGCAAUAGGCGUGUUGGACCCGGGGGCAGUGCCCGGCGCCUCCACCAGAUUUCCGACCGGUCACGCGGUCGGCGAGGGGGCGAUCCAGGAUCGACAACCGCUGAAAGAUGAGGGCCUUCGCCCGGCAUGGUACCGCCGUGACGGACCGAACUUAAAACUGCCAACGACAACAGUCGUGAGGUUGCUCUCGCUGCCUAACCAGUGAGAGGAACGACAGUUCCAAGUCCCUGCCGCUUCACACGGUAGGGCGGGGUUUGGGGGCACCCGGCAACAGAAGCCCCCAUC